rnacentral:rRNA from 1 species
AUACGGAGGAUCCGAGCGUUAUCCGGAUUUAUUGGGUUUAAAGGGUGCGCAGGCGGGAGAUUAAGUCGGCGGGGAAAUUUUGCAGCUCAACUGUAAAAGUGCCUUCGAAACUGGUUUCCUUGAGUGUAGAUGAAGUAGGCGGAAUUUGUGGUGUAGCGGUGAAAUGCAUAGAUAUCACGAGGAACUCCGAUUGCGCAGGCAGCUUACUAAACUACUACUGACGCUCAGGCACGAAGGCGUGGGGAUCAAACAGGAUUAGAUACCCUGGUAGUCCACGCAGUAAACGAUGAUUACUAGCUGUUUGCGAUACAAUGUAAGCGGCUGAGCGAAAGCGUUAAGUAAUCCACCUGGGGAGUACGACCGCAAGGUUGAAACUCAAAGGAAUUGACGGGG